rnacentral:rRNA from 1 species
UACGGGGGGAGCAAGCGUUGUUCGGAUUUAUUGGGCGUAAAGAGCUCGUAGGCGGUGUGUCACGUCGGCCGUGAAAACCUGCAGCUUAACUGUGGGCGUGCGGUCGAUACGGGCAUCACUGGAGUUCGGCAGGGGAGACUGGAAUUCCUGGUGUAGCGGUGAAAUGCGCAGAUAUCAGGAGGAACACCGGUGGCGAAGGCGGGUCUCUGGGCCGAUACUGACGCUGAGGAGCGAAAGCGUGGGGAGCAAACAGG